GCGUGCCUAAUACAUGCAAGUAGAACGCUGAAGGAGGAGCUUGCUUCUCUGGAUGAGUUGCGAACGGGUGAGUAACGCGUAUGUAACCUGCCUGGNUAGCGGGUGUGAUAACUAUUGGAAACGNAUAGCUAAUACCNNGCAUAAGAGUACGAUGUUGCAGUAGACAUUNNUGCUUAAAAGGUGCACAUUGNNCAUCGACUACCAGAUAGUGACCUGCGUUGUAUUAGACUACGUUGGAUGGGUGUAACGAGCUCACACAAGGACGACGAAAUACAUAGCCGACCUGAGAGGGGGUGAUCGGCCACACUGGGACUGAGACACGGCCCAGACUCCAUACGGGAGGCAGCAGUAGGGAAUCUUCGGCAAUGGACGGAAGUCUGACCGAGCAACGCCGCGUGAGUGAAGAAGGUUUUCGGAUCGUAAAGCUCUGAUGCAAGAGAAGAACGAGUGUGAGAGUGGAAAGUUCACACUGUGACGGUAUCUUACCAGAAAGGGACGGCUAACUACGUGCCAGCAGCCGCGGUAAUACGUAGGUCCCGAGCGUUGUCCGGAUUUAUUGGGCGUAAAGCGAGUGCAGGCGGUUAGAUAAGUCUGAAGUUAAAGGCUGUGGCUUAACCAUAGUACGCUUUGGAAACUGUUUAACUUGAGUGCAAGAGGGGAGAGUGGAAUUCCAUGUGUAGCGGUGAAAUGCGUAGAUAUAUGGAGGAACACCGGUGGCGAAAGCGGCUCUCUGGCUUGUAACUGACGCUGAGGCUCGAAGCGUGGGGAGCAAACAGGAU
rnacentral:rRNA from 1 species